rnacentral:lncRNA from 1 species
CCCAGGUAUUAUUAGCGUCUAGCCUCCAACAAGACAGCAAACUAACACAGGUUACAGGGAAGUUCCUCCAAGUUCAGUCCUGGAGACGUCAGAUCGCUGAGAAGGAGGUUGAUUGGUAAGGAACAAAUGUCAAAACUAUUAGAAACGGUUAGGGAGAUUGAAGGUGGCUGAAUCCUAGAACGUAAAAAAUAAAUUGGAUUCCACCACAUGACACCUGGUGAAUGCCAGAUCCAUGAAAGCCCUAAAUGUGAAAGGUAAAAAUGUUAAAGAUGGUAUAAGAAGACGUGUAAGGAUAUCUGUAAGUUUGGGAUAAAAAGACUUUUUAAAUAAUAUGCCAAAGAACAAAAGUUAACAUAAUUGAUACAUCAGAAUUAAGGAUUUCUUUUAAAUGAAGGACAGAGUUAAGAAAAUUAAGAGAAGUAGUGCAACAGGAGACUGUUCUCCAAUGUAUAAAAUCCACGAGGGGUUCACAGACGGAGCAGAUCAGCGCUUAACAGAGAGUGAAACUGACCGGCCAGCAAGGUCCAGUCGCAGUAGGAGCUCCAGAAAAAGGAGGUUCCCGUCUUCCCUCUUGUUCUUCCCAAGGGCCAAAGUGCCUCAAGCAUGACAUUUUUCCAGGACAAAGAUGAGCUGUUUCAGGAAGGAGGGCAAGGAGCAUUGCAGUGCAGCCCAGCUUGGAUCCAGGGAAAAUUCAAAGAUAGAAGAUUAAAGUCCGCAGUCUCGCCCCCAACGAGGCAUGGAGACCAGUGAGCCGGGAGCUCAGGGCAGGUGGUUCUGUCUGCCCCCGGCGCUGCCCUGGCGUAGACACUCAGGUCAAAGCACCCACCUUUAGGGCCAAGUCUUACUGGAGAGAGGCUACUCAUGUGGAAGGGUGAGAAGGUGAAACUGUGAUAGUUUAUUAAACAAUUUCAGAGUGGGGUUGGAAUUUCAGAAAAUCCUUUGAAGAAGAGGAAGGAAUGGCUCCAGCUGUGAGGAAGCGCAUGUUCCCAGCCUGAAGAAGAGCGUCCAAGUGAUCCAGGUGGAAAACCUGAGCCUGAGUCUCGGGCUGCCCUGCCUCCUAGAAGCUGAGCUGUGUGAUGUCUCUUUCUGAGAUCCAGGUGGAAAACCUGAGCCUGAGUCUUGGGCUGCCCCGCCUCCUGAACGCUGAGCUGUGUGAUGUCUCUUUCCAAGGACCAGGUGGAAAACCUGAGCCUGAGUCUCGGGCUGCCCCACCUCCUGGACGCUGAGCUGUGUGAUGUCUUCAUUCCCAGAUCCAGGUGGAAAACCUGAGCCUGAGUCUCGGGCUGCCCCACCUCCUGGACGCUGAGCUGUGUGAUGUCUUCAUUCCCAGAUCCAGAUGGAAAACCUGAGCCUGAGUCUUGGGCUGCCCCGCCUCCUGGAUGCUGAGCUGUGUGAUGUCUCUUUCCGAGAUCCAGGUGGAAAACCUGAGCCUGAGUCUCAGGCUGCCCGGCCUCCUGGAUGCUGAGCUGUGUGAUGUCUCUUUCCCAGAUCCAGGUGGAAAACCUGAGCCUGAGUCUUGGGCUGCCCCACCUCCUGGACAUUGAGCUGUGUGAUGUCUCUUUCCAAGGUCCAGGUGGAAAACCUGAGCCUGAGUCUCGGGCUGCCCGCCUCCUGGACGCUGAGCUGUGUGAUGUCUCUUUCCAAGGUCCAGGUGGAAAACCUGAGCCUGAGUCUCGGGCUGCCCCGCCUCCUAGAGGCUGAGCUGUGUGAUGUCUCUUUCCAAGAUCCAGGUGGAAAACCUGAGCCUGAGUCUUGGGCUGCCCCCACUCCUGGACACUGAGCUGUGUGAUGUCUCUUUCCCAGAUCCAGGUGGAAAACUGGGGCCAAUGUUCCUGGUUAUCCCCCCAGCAGCAUGUGUUCCUGGGAUAAGGCCUUGCAUUCCCACAGAGCUGUGCGGGGGCUCAUGCCUAAAAUCCCAGCACUGUGGGAGGCCGAGGAAGGAUUGCUUGAGCCCAGGAGUUUAAGACCAGCCUAGGCAACAUGGCAAGACCCCAUCUCUACAAAAAAAAAAAAAAAAAAACAACUAAGCCAGGCGUGGUGCAGGCACAUGCAGG